rnacentral:lncRNA from 1 species
UGUCGUAUUACGUGAAGUCUUGCUUGAGAGUGCAUCGAGCACUUGGUUGUGGAAAAUAAAAGAAAAUUACAACAAAAGGUUUUAACAAUCCAAUAGGAUUAUAGAGAAUUUACAAUUAAACGUUAACAAUCAUAAUCAAACAUUAAGUAAACUCAAUUAAAUUUUAUUGAAGUUAUAAAAGAAAUACAAGGAAAUCCUAAAGAAAUAUAAAAGAAUAUUAAAGAAAACUUAGUCAAACCCUAAAAAAAAUCUAAUAGAACCUUAAAUAUUAACCAAAUCCUAAUCCUAAUCCAACCUUAAUCAAACCCUAGACAAAUCCUAAAUCUUAAACAAAUCCUAAUCAAACCUUAAUCCCUAACCAAAUCCUAAUCUAAACCUUAAAUUCUAAAUCCUAAACCAAAUCCUAAUCCAAAUCCUAAAUCCUAAACCGAACCCUAUCCAAAUCCUAAACCCUAAACCAAACCCUAAUCCAAACCCUAAAUUCUAAAUCAAAUCCUAAAUCCUAAAUCAAAUCCUAAUCAAAUCUUAAUCCCUAACCAAAUCCUAAUCCAAAUCUUAAAUCCUAAAUCAAA